rnacentral:rRNA from 1 species
UACGUUCCCGGGCCUUGUACACACCGCCCGUCAAGCCAUGGAAGUCAGGGAGACCUGAAGACAGUGUACCGUCAAAGGAGCUGUUUAGGGUAAAACUGGUAACUGGGGCUAAGUCGUAAACAAGGUACC